GGGGAAUUUUCCGCAAUGGGCGAAAGCCUGACGGAGCAACGCCGCGUGGGGGAAGAAGGUUUUUGGAUUGUAAACCCCUUUUCUCAAGGAAGAACAAAAUGACGGUACUUGAGGAAUCAGCCUCGGCUAACUCCGUGCCAGCAGCCGCGGUAAUACGGAGGAGGCAAGCGUUAUCCGGAAUUAUUGGGCGUAAGGCGUUCGUAGGCGGCUGUUCAAGUCUGCUGUCAGAGACCGAGGCUCAACCUCGGGUCGGCAGUGGAAACUGGAUAGCUAGAGGUCGGUAGGGGCAGAGGGAAUUCCCAGUGUAGCGGUGAAAUGCGUAGAUAUUGGGAAGAACACCGGUGGCGAAAGCGCUCUGCUGGGCCGAACCUGACGCUGAGGGACGAAAGCUAGGGGAGCGAAUGGGAUUAGAUACCCCAGUAGUC
rnacentral:rRNA from 1 species